rnacentral:rRNA from 1 species
UACAUGGGGUGCAAACGUUGCUCGGAAUCAUUGGGCGUAAAGCGCGUGUAGGCGGUUACUUAAGUCGGAUGUGAAAGCCCUCGGCUUAACUGAGGAAGUGCAUCCGAAACUGGGUAGCUAGAGUACGAAAGAGGGUCGCGGAAUUCCCGGUGUAGAGGUGAAAUUCGUAGAUAUCGGGAGGAACACCGGUGGCGAAGGCGGCGACCUGGGUCGAGACUGACGCUAAUACGCGAAAGCGUGGGGAGCAAACAGG